rnacentral:rRNA from 1 species
GAUCCUGGCUCAGGAUGAACGCUGGCGGCGUGCUUAACACAUGCAAGUCGAACGGGAAAUCUUUUAUUGAAGCUUCGGCAGAUUUAAAUUGUUUCUAGUGGCGGACGGGUGAGUAACGCGUGGGUAACCUGCCCUAUACAGGGGGAUAACAACCAGAAAUGGUUGCUAAUACCGCAUAAGCGCACAGGACCGCAUGGUCCGGUGUGAAAAACUCCGGUGGUAUAGGAUGGACCCGCGUUGGAUUAGCCAGUUGGCAGGG